rnacentral:rRNA from 1 species
AUUGAACGCUGGCGGCAGGCCUAACACAUGCAAGUCGAGCGAGCGGCGGACGGGGGAGUAAUGUCUGGGAAACUGCGCGAUGGAGGGGGGUAACUAUUGGAAACGGUAGCUAAUACCGCAUAACAUCAGAUGUGCCCCGAUGGGAUUAGCUAGUAGGUGGGGAAACGGCUCACCUAGGGGACGAGCCCGAGCUGGUCUGAGAGGAUGACCAGCCACACUGGAACUGAUACACGGUCCAGACUCCUACGGGAGGCAGCAGUGGGGAAUAUUGGACAAUGGGCGCAAGCCUGAUCCAGCCAUGCCGCGUGUGUGAAGAAGGUCUUCGGAUUGUAAAGCACUUUAAGUUGGGAGGCGUUACCAACAGAAUAAGCACCGGCUAACUCCGUGCCAGCCGCCGCGGUAAUAC